CCCGUAGGGGACGAUCGUUGUCCGGAUUCAUUGGGCGUAAAGCGCGCGUAGGCGGCUCGGAAAGUCGGGUGUGAAAGCCCGGGGCUCAACCCCGGGACUGCAUCCGAUACUUCCGGGCUGGAGGUAGGUAGGGGAGAUCGGAAUUCCUGGUGUAGCGGUGAAAUGCGCAGAUAUCAGGAGGAACACCGGUGGCGAAGGCGGAUCUCUGGGCCUUACCUGACGCUGAGGCGCGAAAGCUAGGGGAGAGAACAGG
rnacentral:rRNA from 1 species